GUAAUAGAUUAAGUAUUUUGAAUCGAAAAGUUAUCUUUUUCUAUGCUUCUAAGCUUUCUUGGUUUUUGCUCAGGAACAUAGGUUACGGCUUGGACAGAAAGCUAUAUUUCACCUGGAAGCGUUUGUGGCCAAGUUUAUGAGCAUCUACAAGGGUUUCCUGAUUGAGACAUUUGGCUGAAAUUAGAUGAAGAAAGGAUAUGAUUUUGUCAUCUAUUUGCUAUAGUUUGAUUUGGAUGUGGACAAAUCGUUCUGUGAUAGAUUCUCUGCUUGUGCUACAUUGCGUUGAAAAUCUUGGUUGACUGGAUU